UAAGAAUACCGUUUUCGUGUUGUCUUAUAGACGUGAGAUAGCCGGGCCAAAGUUCCAUUCUCUGACCCUGUACGUCUAUCUAUUUGAAUUAUAAUUGUGUUAAACAAUUCAUAGCAUGCGAUUGAACUUUACUGCACAUAUUAUACGUCAUUCUACUCGUUUUGACAUGCUGGAUGUGAAUAUCGCAACCAUUUCUAAUGGAAAUAUAUGUAUGGGAAUGAAUCUUCUGCAUGUGCCAUCAACACUUCUUGAAGCAUCUUUGUCUCUUGUUUGUAGAAUAGCAUCUUGAGUCUAAUAACAAUUCUAAGAAUCACUGAGAAUUUUCUUUGAAAGCAUUAGCAUCAUCUUUCUUUCAGCACGUAUGCUUGACUUGAUUUUAAAGAUCAGUAAAGUAGAGAACUGGAAAACUGUAUUGUUAUGGAUUAUACAAAUGCCCAGUCAACGAUACUUACUGCUUAGAAAUAACUCAUAAAAAUUAAUAUUUCUUCAUAAAAAGUUGUUGUGGAAACCAAGAAGGAAACUAUAUCAUUUAUUGAAGUAUAUGUUCUCAAAGAACUAAAAACCAAUUGUAAGGUUGAGUUCCUGUCUUAUCUCCUUACGUUUAAAAUUUAAUAUGUGAAUUAUAUAAACAUAUCUCGACAUAAACAUGUAAUGCAGUUAAUUCCAUACCCAAAACUAAUUCACAUCAAGGUAGAAAGUAUCAAAAAAUUUUAUGAAUAUUUCAAAAAUAUGUAAUUUCUACUAAAAACAAAGUAGCAUGACAUAAAACAUGUGCCAAAAGCAUAGGGGAACAAUGGGUAAUCUCUUACUCAGCAUGCUGAGAUUAACAAAUUUAUAGUCUCAUGUUUCAUAAAUUACCACUGGUGGAUCUUGUGGUACUGAAACUGGUCUUUCCAUAGGUGUCCCUGGUGGAAACUUAAUGUAGCUCGGAGGAUCAGACAGCGUAUAAGGCGGAACAUUACUUGGAGGUAGAGGUUGAUAUGAAGAUGGAGGAGGUUGAG